UCCUCUUUAUUAUAUAGGAUAGUGGUUAGUUAGGAAUGUGGACUCUGGCCAGACUGUUACUUAGACAAGUACUUUAACUUCUCAGUACGUCUUCACCUGUAUGAGGGGAAUCAUAAUAGUGCCUAUAAUAUGGUACUAUAAAACAGAAUUAAACUGUACAUUACACAUUACCUGGGAUGUGAAUUCUAUAAAUGUUCACUAUUAUAGUUUACAUCAUUACUAUUAUUGAUGUUAUUUCUGUCAUGUAUGGUACUUAAACCAAGGGUAAAGUUUACUCUGUAGGAUUAGCAUGCCCCCAAAAAUGUAAGACAGAAGAAGGAGUUGUGAACAUUAGGGAAGAGGGAUCCCAGGACGUGACCAAACACCCAGAAAAUUGGUUCUAAUAAAUCUAAUUGAAGCAUAGUCUUGCUAUGGGAGGUGGAGAAGAGUGAAAACAAUCUUAAAUUGUAAUCACAGGAUGAUUUCUGUCAGAUUAAGCCUUCUAUUACAGCCAAAGAAGUUGGAUUUAAGAAUACAACAAACCUCAGUAGCAAAAAAAUACAGAACAAUCCAAUUUAAAAAUGGGCUGAAGAUCUGAAAAGACAUUUGUCCAAGGAAGAAAUACAAAUGGCCAACAGCUGGAAACAAACAAAAGACAUAGGAAGAAUACAUCCAUCUACAAGUCAAGGAGAGAGGCCUCAGAAGAAACUAACCCUGCCAACACCUUGAUCUUGGACAUCUAACCUCUAGAACUGUGAGAAAUAAAUUUCUGUUGUUCAAGCCAAAAAACAAAACAAAACAAAAAACAGUACCACACACUUAGUAUAAAGUGUAGAUUUUAGUCUUUACUCUCAAUUUUGAAAAUAUUUAUAGAGUAGGAAACAUUUGGAAAAGUAUUUUGAAAUAUCUUUACUUUUUUUGGUAAUUCUGACUAUCCACAUACAUAUUUAUAUGCUAGUUCCUUGUAUCAGCAUUCAACCUAGGUAGAGGUAGAAAUGUAUACAGAGACCAUAUACUCAAGUAAACUCAGUAAACUGUUAGGUUAAAACCAUUUGUUUCAAAUAUUGUCCUGACUAGACUGGGGCUGUCAUGGCUCAUCCAAAUGUAAAAUAAUGCAGAUCUGAAUAGCUGUGCAGACAUAGACUAAAACCUGUUGUCUACCUUGUCACUAAUAAGUGGUGAGAAAAGUAAAUAAAUAGUUUUCCUCCAGAAUUUAAGGGAGUUGAAAAUGCCAAUAAUUAUAAUAAACAGUUUGUUUCACUAUAUGUAUAUAAUAACACAUACACAAUAAUACAUACCUAGCUUAUGUCUCCAAAGCAAAUUACUUAUUAGCACUUGGAAGAAAAAGUAGUUAACUCUACUAAAGGUAGUAAAAUUCAUCCUGGUCUCUUAAUCCUCUUUAUUACUUAAAUAUUAGCAUUAUCCAUAUUCAUCUAUUAAUUUAGAGUUAUUUAGUGAGAUAAGACAGAAGGUGUAUUAAAAAUAAAUAAGGUAGGAUGGGAGGCAUAGUAAGUGGAAAAUUUAAGAGUCAUGAUAUUUAUUUCAUAAGGGAACUUGAUAGUAACAGAAAAUGCAUUUUAAA